GAUGAACACUGGCGGCGUGCCUAAUACAUGCAAGUCGAGCGAACGGACGAGAAGCUUGCUUCUCUGAUGUUAGCGGCGGACGGGUGAGUAACACGUGGAUAACCUACCUAUAAGACUGGGAUAACUUCGGGAAACCGUAGCUAAUACCGGAUAAUAUUUUGAACCGCAUGGUUCAAAAGUGAAAGACGGUCUUGCUGUCACUUAUAGAUGGAUCCGCGCUGCAUUAGCUAGUUGGUAAGGUAACGGCUUACCAAGGCAACGAUGCAUAGCCGACCUGAGAGGGUGAUCGGCCACACUGGAACUGAGACACGGUCCAGACUCCUACGGGAGGCAGCAGUAGGGAAUCUUCCGCAAUGGGCGAAAGCCUGACGGAGCAACGCCGCGUGAGUGAUGAAGGUCUUCGGAUCGUAAAACUCUGUUAUUAGGGAAGAACAUAUGCGUAAGUAACUGUGCACAUCUUGACGGUACCUAAUCAGAAAGCCACGGCUAACUACGUG
rnacentral:rRNA from 1 species